rnacentral:lncRNA from 10 species
CAAAAAUUAGCUGGUUGUAGUGAUGGACACCUGCAAUCCCAGCUACUCUGGAGGCUGAGACAGGAGAAUUGCUUGAACCCGGGAGGUGGAGCUUUCGUGCCCGUAAGCAGGAUCCUGUGACAGCAGCGUCUCCUUGAGCGGUGCUCCAGUUUCCACUGGGUUGGGAGGAGGCGUGAGAUCAUGGUCAUUUUUUAAAGGAGAGGCUGUCUUCGUGAUCUCCCUGUUCCGUCUCCACCAUCGGACUUGUUCCAAAACAAUCAAAGACGUGGAAACAAUAAAAUGAAAGAGAUGGAAGUAGCCCUUUUAAAAAGAAGACAGCUGUUCCUGUCAAUACGGGGACGGAAAAGAGAAAAAGAGUUGGAAACAAAUAAUUUUUAAGCCCAGGACUGGCUACUUGGUUAACAGAUGUGGCCUGACCUCGCUCUACCCAAAUCACUUCAUCAUGGGCUCUGAGCGGCCAGGCGCGGUGGAGAGGGCAGGGAGCUUUGGAACCAGUCGUUCAUGAGCUGUGUGACCUUGAACAAGCCAUUUAAUAUCUUG